rnacentral:rRNA from 1 species
AUUGAACGCUGGCGGCAUGCUUUACACAUGCAAGUCGAACGGUAACAGGCCGCAAGGUGCUGACGAGUGGCGAACGGGUGAGUAAUGCAUCGGAACGUGCCCAGUCGUGGGGGAUAACGCAGCGAAAGCUGUGCUAAUACCGCAUACGAUCUAUGGAUGAAAGCGGGGGACCGUAAGGCCUCGCGCGAUUGGAGCGGCCGAUGUCAGAUUAGGUAGUUGGUGGGGUAAAGGCCUACCAAGCCGACGAUCGGUAGCUGGUCUGAGCGGACGACCAGCCACACUGGGACUGAGACACGGCCGAGACUCCUACGGGAGGCAGCAGUGGGGAAUUUUGGACAAUGGGCGCAAGCCUGAUCCAGCAAUGCCGCGUGCAGGAAGAAGGCCUUCGGGUUGUAAACUGCUUUUGUACGGAACGAAACGGUCUGGGUUAAUACCCUGGGCUAAUGACGGUACCGUAAGAAUAAGCACCGGCUAACUACGUGCCAGCCGCCGCCGUAAGAC